CCCGGUGGCCAUAGCGGAGAGGCAAUACCCGUUCCCAUCCCGAACACGGAAGUCAAGCUCUCUUGCGCCGAUGAUACUGCCGAUCAGGCGGGAAAGUAGGUAGCCGCCGGGC
rnacentral:rRNA from 1 species